rnacentral:rRNA from 1 species
UGAACUUAAGCAUAUCAGUAAGCGGAGGAAAAGAAAGUAACUACGAUUUCCUUAGUAACGGCGAGUGAACAGGAAUUAGCCCAAAGCCGAAUCCUGCAUCUUUGGUGUUAGGAAAUGUGGCGUAUGAGAUUAUUCUAACGGUUUAUUCUUGCCAUCUUAAGUUCACUUGAUUGUGGCAUCAAGCCCAGAGAGGGUGUAAGGCCCGUAGAGGUGGCGAGAUAUUCCCAGAUUAAUCUCGAGAGUAGAGUUGUUCGGGAUUGCAGCUCAAAUAUGGGAGUUAGACUCCUCCUAAGGCUAAAUACAACACGAUUCCGAUAGCAAACAAGUACCAUGAGGGAAAGUUGAAAAGAACUUUGAAGAGAGAGUUCAACAGUGCGUGAAACCGCUUAAAUGUAACCUGGUAAAGCUGAAGGAGACUUGGCUUACUUGCAUUUUAUGCUGGCCUUUUGAUGGGUGCAGAGACUUUUUGCUCGGCCUUUCAAAUGCGUCGGUGUACCAUGCUAUUUUGCUUUGUCGACACCACGAUCAGUAGGUAGAGAUGUCUGUCAUUCUCAGGAAGGUAGCUCACUUUUGUGAGUGUUAUAGACUGAGUUUAUAGAACAUUUCGAGUACUGUUAAAUUGUGCUUUCUUAAAGUUGUGUUGAAGCGAGAAGCAGUUAUACUAACUCCUAAAGAGAUAGUGAAAUUGUCUGAUCGUUCUGACAUGGCCUCUUAGGAGAGUAUUUAUUUGUGGUGGCAUUGUAGGCAUUUUACCUGACCCGUCUUGAAACACGGACCAAGGAGUUUAGCAUGUACGCGAGUCAUGAGGUUAUACGAAACCUAAAGGCGCAGUGAAAGUAAAGGCCUUCCUUUGUUGGCUGAGGUAUGAUCCUAGAUUUCAUUGGGCAGCAAUGCACAUGAUCUGGGCGCAAUACCAGCUCGUCCCAUGCUUUAUUAAGUGGGGCGACGCAAGAGCGUACACGCUGAGACCCGAAAGAUGGUGAACUAUGCUUGAGUAGGUUGAAGCCAGAGGAAACUCUGGUGGAGGACCGUAGCGAUUCUGACGUGCAAAUCGAUCGUCAAACUUGAGUAUAGGGGCGAAAGACUAAUCGAACCAUCUAGUAGCUGGUUCCCGUCGAAGUUUCCCUCAGGAUAGCUGGCACUCAAGAACAAAACAGUUUUAUCCGGUAAAGCGAAUGAUUAGCAGUAUUGGGGAUGAAAUAUCCUCAACUGAUUCUCAAACUUUAAAUGGGUGAGAUGUUCAACUCUCUUAAAUUUGGAGUUGUGACAUUGAAUGUGAGUGCCUAGUGGGCCAUUUUUGGUAAGCAGAACUGGCGAUGAGGGAUGAACCUAACGUUUAGUUAAGGAGCCAAACAUAACGCUCAUGAGACACCACAAAAGGUGUUGGUUGAUUUUGACAGCAGGACGGUGGCCAUGGAAGUCGGAAUCCGCUAAGGAGUGUGUAACAACUCACCUGCCGAAUCAACCAGCCCUGAAAAUGGAUGGCGCUGUAGCGUUGGUCCUAUACUAAACUGUUACCGCGAAUCAGUAUGUGGUAACAAGUAGACGGGCGCAGUGGUGAGCAUAGAAGUCUAGGCCGUGAGGCUGGAUGGAGCCGCCACUGGUGCAGAUCUUGGUGGUAGUAGCAAAUAUACAAGUGAGAACCUUGUAGACUGAAGUGG